rnacentral:rRNA from 1 species
GAUGAACGCUGGCGGCGUGCCUAAUACAUGCAAGUCGAGCGAACAGACGAGGAGCUUGCUCCUCUGACGUUAGCGGCGGACGGGUGAGUAACACGUGGAUAACCUACCUAUAAGACUGGGAUAACUUCGGGAAACCGGAGCUAAUACCGGAUAAUAUAUUGAACCGCAUGGUUCAAUAGUGAAAGACGGUUUUGCUGUCACUUAUAGAUGGAUCCGCGCCGCAUUAGCUAGUUGGUAAGGUAACGGCUUACCAAGGCAAGGAUGCGUAGCCGACCUGAGAGGGUGAUCGGCCACACUGGAAGUGAGACACGGUCCAGACUCCUACGGGAGGCAGCAGUAGGGAAUCUUCCGCAAUGGGCGAAAGCUUGACGGAGCAACGCCGCGUGAGUGAUGAAGGUCUUCGGAUCGUAAAACUCUGUUAUUAGGGAAGAACAAAUGUGUAAGUAACUAUGCACGUCUUGACGGUACCUAGUCAGAAAGCCACGGCUAGCUACGUG